UGCAGCCGGAGCUGACUUGGGCAGAAAUCGCAUAACAGAAUGCCUUUAGUAGUUCCAAUGAACUUGCAUCAUGGGAUGCUAGAAUCAUGGAAAUUGGAUAGAGAAAUAGAGCAUCUGUUCUCUCAGCAAGACAUUUCCAAAUCAGUUUUCCUAUCUGUAAGAGGAGAGGAAGGUUUUGUUUGUUUUUUAAGCAGCCAUUUAUUUUGCACCUGCCAUUUGUUAGAUGCUAUUUUAGGGACUUUCCUUACUUUAUGUCUUUUAAUUUUCAGUCAGCUAUUAAGAGAAAUAAUAUUCCUACUUUUCAGAUAAGAAAGAUAAGACCUGGACUAAAUGAUUUGCCCAGGGUCUCAGAGAAAAGUAUCAGAGCCUGAAUUCCAUACUGGCCCAGUCAACUUCAAAGCCUCUGCCUUAUUUAUUAUAUUAAGAUGCCUUCUAUAACUAAGAAAUAGUGUUUCUAUAAGAAAAAGUGAUCUUGUCUACCUCUGGCUAGCAGAAGAAACUGACUGGUGUAUCACAGAGAUAGCUAAGUAAUGAAGAACAAGAUGAACUGAGUGGAAUGAACAGCUGUUACAAAUGGAGAAACUAUCAAAGAGCAGUCUAAUUGAGGAGCAAUGUAGUGUAGCAGUCAAGAGCACGGAUCUGAAAUCAGACCAGCCUGGAUUUAAGUUUUGGCUCUACCAUUACCCAGAUGUUUCAUCUUUCUCCAAGUUACACACUCUCAGCCUCAGUUUUUUCACCCAUAAACAAGCAUAUAAGGAUAAUAACCUGCCUCAGGUUGUAAGGAUUAAAGGGAACUUAUAUAAAACCUAUAAUGAAUCUGACUCACUAGGCUCUUAAUAAAUAGUAGCUCCUCUUAUAAGCAGAACAGGGCCAAGUAGUAAUUACAACUGAGAAGAGAAAAUGCUGUUCAAAGCAAGAUGAAAAAGGUGAGUAAAGUCCCUUAGCUCAGCCCUACAGGAUUUGAGAUUCUCAUUCAUACCCUCUCUCCUUCCCUCCUCAUUUUUCUUCUUCAACUACUUCCCUCUUUUCCUCUCUCUCUCCCCACCAAAUAUUAUGCUAGACUCCACAUGCAGCAUGUCAUUUUAUCCACCUUGAGCUUGCUGUUGCCCUGCUUUCCUCGCUGUGGAAUUCUCUUCCUCCUGUCCCUCCCUUCACCCCCGCUUCCUACUCUGAGCUUCCUUCUCCAGGUUUGCUCCUUCUUUCCAUCAGCUAUCACUUUAUCACCACCUCCUCAAAGAGACCAUGUUCAUGUCCAGGCCCACAAUCUCAAGUAGCCAUCCUGUGAUUCUGUAUCAUAUUAUCCUUUUUAAACUCUAUGCAGCACUUACUACCUCUGAUGUUUGUCUUCUUUAAGGAUUUGAUUGCCUCAUGUGACAAGCCCAAGAUCUGUGACAGUUGGAGCUCAAACUAGGCAGUCUUGAUUCCAGACUCCUCUAAACUAGUAUUUCAAGGAACUAAUGCCCAUGACAUGUUAAAUGGAAGUUUGGGGACUUACACUCAGGAUGGAAGCAGGGGGACCCAGCAGAAAUGAAAGAAUUUUCUGUGGAUCUGAGAUCUGGACACCUGCCCCCCUCAUGGGAAGUCAGCAAACAAGAUGCUAACUGAUGGAGUGAAAUCCCCAGGAGAUGCAGAAGGCACGUGCAGCUAACUGAGGCCUCAGAGGCAGGAGAUGCCCAUCGGGAUGAGAGCUAUGGCUUUCUCCAGCGAUGACUCUGCUUCUAUGAGGUCACUAGUAGUAGAACCAUGUAUUGCUGGCAUACACUUGGGAUGGCCCCGCCUCUCCUGGACUUCCAUCUGUCAUCAGGAGAACAUGACCAUCUGGAGUCAGUACAGAUCAUCAAUCCUUCCACAUAUACAAGUUCAUUUUAAAUUUUUAAAAAUAUAAUACAACUGAGAAGUCUUCAUUAAAUUGCUCUGGUAGU